rnacentral:rRNA from 1 species
UACGUAGGGGGCAAGCGUUGUCCGGAUUUAUUGGGCGUAAAGAGCGUGUAGGCGGUUUGGUAGGUCCGCUGUGAAAACUCGAGGCUCAACCUCGAGACGCCGGUGGAAACCAUCAGACUAGAGUCCGGAAGAGGAGAGUGGAAUUCCUGGUGUAGCGGUGAAAUGCGCAGAUAUCGGAAGGAACACCAGUGGCGAAGGCGGCGUCCUGGCCUGCGACUGACGCUGUGGCGCGAAAGCUAGGGGAGCGAACGGG